rnacentral:lncRNA from 1 species
CAAAAAUGCUGUAUCUGGUCUAAAUAGAUCAUGAGGCAGAAUCUGAUUAGUUCUCCACAGUAUCCCUCUUCGCUUCAUCUUCGGCUUGCUCCUAAAGUGCACUUCGCAUUUCACGUAAGGACGUGCGAGGAGCACCCCGUAGAAUGUGGGCAGAGGGGAUGUGCAUCACUUCCAGAAAUGGCCCUAAAACCUGCCCUGUUACCCACGUUUGCUCCUUGCCUUCCCGCUGGCUACCUGUGUAGCCCAAGUGGAGGUCUGUGAGGCACCAAAGACGGUGGAGCCACGUGAUGCAGACAACUGGACUCCUGCACGACUCUGUGGAGCAUGGUGCUCCCCGUACUGGCACGAGAAAGAAAGCUCCAUCAUUAUGGACCUGGGCCAUCUUUGGUCUCAACUGUUUCAAUUGUUUUUGAAGUGCUUACUAAGCUCUGUCACCCAUACAGAUACCAGAGGACUGUUGUUAAACCUUCAAACAAAUCAUGUCAGUGGCUCACUGAUGGGCCACAUAACCUGCAGGAUCUAGCCCUUCCCUUCCAGUAUCAGCUCAACUCAUUCUCCUUCGCUCCCUGCAGUGCACUACAGCUUCAUUGACCUUUCAGUUCUUGGACAACAUCUGGGCCUUGGCUCCACUUAAGGCCUUCAGAUUUGUUUUGUUGUAGACCUGUCAGUCUGCUGCCCAUGAUCCUCAUGACUAAGAUCUGAGUUUUAGGGUCACAACCAAAUGGCCACCUCCUCAGAGAGGUCUUCCUCUCUGUUUUCUUCAACUGCCUUCUUCUCUGUCACACUGAUGCCCCUAUUUCUCUGAGUGUAUUUUCUCUCUGAAGAUGUGGACUUACUGGGAAUUUACAUACAUGGAAGUUGCAACUUUCAGUAAAAAAAAAAAACAAGGAAACAUUCAUGAAAACAGUAUCAUGGUCAUUUCCAGGAAAUUUCACAAUGUGUUAUUUUUUGUUUUUAUGCCACUUCUCUUACCUAAAUGUGGUAAAGCUCUACUGGGAGUAUGGACAAUGUCUUGUCACUGCUUGAGAAAAAAAGACAUACAAAAAACCAAGUAUCUGUUUUCUUUGUGUGAAAAAUUCUAAACCAUAUUCUUAGACAGCCUUUGUGGCAUCUACUUUGUCCCAGUGGUUCCUUUUCCCAGGUAAUCCAUGUACAUGCUGAAUGAACCACCAUGCCUGAGUGUAGACCAGAUGGCCUUGUUUGAACCAUCCUCACAGUCCAUCCUCACUGUCU